GAGGAAUAUUGGGCAAUGCCCGCAAGGGUGACCCAGCAACGCCGCGUGGAGGAUGAAUGUCGUAAGAUUGUAAACUCCUGUUAGAGGGGAAGAAUAGUACCGGUUGGACCGGUAUAUGACUGUACCCUCAGAGAAAGCCCCGGCUAACUACGUGCCAGCAGCCGCGGUAAUACGUAGGGGGCAAGCGUUGUCCGGAUUUACUGGGUGUAAAGGGCGCGCAGGCGGGAUAAAAAGUCAGUGGUGAAAUCCUACAGCUUAACAGUAGAACUGCCUUUGAUACUUUUAUUCUUGAGUUCGGGAGAGAGAGACGGAAUUCCAGGUGUAGUGGUGAAAUACGUAGAUAUCUGGAAGAACACCAGUUGCGAAGGCGGUCUCUUGGUCCGACACUGACGCUGAGGCGCGAAAGCGUGGGGAGCAAACA
rnacentral:rRNA from 1 species